GGGCGUGUAGUAUAGUUGGUUAUUGCGCCCGCUUCGCAAAGGGUUUGAACCCUCGACUCUGCGGGAGGUCUGGCGUUCGAAUCGCCACUCGUCCA